rnacentral:rRNA from 1 species
GUUUGAUCAUGGCUCAGAUUGAACGCUGGCGGCAGGCCUAACACAUGCAAGUCGAACGGUAACAUUUCUAGCUUGCUAGAAGAUGACGAGUGGCGGACGGGUGAGUAAUGCUUGGGAACUUGCCUUUGCGAGGGGGAUAACAGUUGGAAACGACUGCUAAUACCGCAUAACGUCUACGGACCAAACGGGGCUUAGGCUCCGGCGCAAAGAGAGGCCCAAGUGAGAUUAGCUAGUUGGUAAGGUAAUGGCUUACCAAGGCAACGAUCUCUAGCUGUUCUGAGAGGAAGAUCAGCCACACUGGAACUGAGACACGGUCCAGACUCCUACGGGAGGCAGCAGUGGGGAAUAUUGCACAAUGGGGGAAACCCUGAUGCAGCCAUGCCGCGUGUGUGAAGAAGGCCUUCGGGUUGUAAAGCACUUUCAGUUGUGAGGAAAAGUUAGUAGUUAAUACCUGCUAGCCGUGACGUUAACAACAGAAGAAGCACCGGCUAACUCCGUGCCAGCAGCCGCGGUAAUACGGAGGGUGCGAGCGUUAAUCGGAAUUACUGGGCGUAAAGCGCACGCAGGCGGUUUGUUAAGCUAGAUGUGAAAGCCCCGGGCUCAACCUGGGAUAGUCAUUUAGAACUGGCAGACUAGAGUCUUGGAGAGGGGAGUGGAAUUCCAGGUGUAGCGGUGAAAUGCGUAGAUAUCUGGAGGAACAUCAGUGGCGAAGGCGACUCCCUGGCCAAAGACUGACGCUCAUGUGCGAAAGUGUGGGUAGCGAACAGGAUUAGAUACCCUGGUAGUCCACACCGUAAACGCUGUCUACUAGCUGUUUGUGACUUUAAGUCGUGAGUAGCGAAGCUAACGCGCUAAGUAGACCGCCUGGGGAGUACGGCCGCAAGGUUAAAACUCAAAUGAAUUGACGGGGGCCCGCACAAGCGGUGGAGCAUGUGGUUUAAUUCGAUGCAACGCGAAGAACCUUACCUACACUUGACAUGCUGAGAACUUUCUAGAGAUAGAUUGGUGCCUUCGGGAACUCAGACACAGGUGCUGCAUGGCUGUCGUCAGCUCGUGUCGUGAGAUGUUGGGUUAAGUCCCGCAACG